rnacentral:rRNA from 1 species
AUACGGAGGGUGCAAGCGUUAAUCGGAAUUACUGGGCGUAAAGCGUACGUAGGCGGUUCGUUAAGUUAGAUGUGAAAGCCCCGGGCUUAACCUGGGAACUGCAUUUAAAACUGGCGGACUAGAGUUGAGUAGAGGGGAGUGGAAUUUCAGGUGUAGCGGUGAAAUGCGUAGAGAUCUGAAGGAACACCAGUGGCGAAGGCGACUCCCUGGACUCGAACUGACGCUGAGGUACGCAAGCGUGGGUAGCAAACGGGAUUAGAAACCCCAGUAGUCC